rnacentral:lncRNA from 1 species
CAAAUAAUCUAAGUUUCACUCUCAUCAAUCCACGCUGUAAAUAUAAUGUCCAAGUCUCAAGAUACAGAGAAAUCGAGAAAUACAAAUAACAGUCUAGUCUGACAAACCUCUACAACUCAAGAAUAGGAAGCCACUGGGACAGACCCCAACUGAAUCAUACUCAAAUAGAAUAAGAUAAAUACAACAACUGAUGUUACAGAACAUCUGGAAAUCUGGUCCACGAACCAUGAGGACUCACCACUGCAGGAGUGUAGAUAAAAGUGCUCAGAAAUCACUGACGCUGCUGGAACUGAGCACCUGAGCCUACAUCAUAAGAAAAUGUAGCCCACAUACGGAUAUGUGGAUCAGCACUUUGGGAAUGUACUGAGUAUAUGGGGUGUAUGCAAUUAAGUAAACAACAUCGUAAGUUUAUAUAAAAUCAUGCAUGCGGAUCAUAAUGACUCACAAAGCUGGAAUAAAGCUGAAAUAUAAGAAUUUUAAAUCAUGAAUAAUGAACAUAUAUCAUAAAUCUCGUGAGUCAUCAUACUUAGCUCAAAAUAUAAACUUCUUCUUUUCUUCUCAAAACUCAAAGGUUAAGGAAAUCCGUAAACAAUACUUUCAAAUCUCAUACUUUCAACUUAAUUCAGAGUAAGGGACAACUUCGGGAGUUUCUUUUAACCGACAUAAAAAAUAUGAGCUUAUCAUGGAGUCCAACGUUUUGUCCUCCUAAGGAAGAAACCCCACAUUGGGAAGGAGCGUCAUACUCUUGCCAGGGAGUAUAACCUCAACUCAGUGAUCACCAACUCGGCCUUAGGCCCACAAAUCUCAAUCCUACGGUGGCACGUAGUUUUAGGAAAGUAGGGUACGCUCACCCACACCUCCCGCUCGAUGCUAAAUACUACUCCCGUACUCAAGUUUAGACUCAUUUAGGAAAUCCACCUCAAAAUAAUCUCAAGCGUCUAUAAUGAAGACCAAAUCAUAUUUCUCAUAAUUGAAUCAAAAUAAAUUGUGGAUUCCUAUUUUCAACUCAAAAUCACAAUAUCAUUCUUGACUCAAAUCUUCUCAAAAUCAUAUCUUUAUCAAAAUCAAACCCAUUCUUGACAUAAAUACAAUAGUUCAAUUUUUUUUUCCAAGAACAUAGACUUAAAAAUCUCAACACCAAAUCUUUAGACUCAAAUUCAAGAUUCAAAACUCAUAACAAUUCGCAAUAUCAACUCAACCCACUAUUAUUCUUGAAAUCAUUCAACAAUACAAAUUCAUAAGUAAAGGAUAUAACUCAUGAUAUAAACUUUUAAUUCAAGACAUAAUAAAUACAAGGUCAUGAAAAUCACAACUUAAAUAACUCAUAAUCCCAUAAUCUCAUAAAUAGUAUCUUGGUAUAAAUAUAUUCAACUUUAAUUUCAUAAAUACCAUAUAAAAUCAAAAACAUAUCUUGUAAUAAAAAUUAAGUUUUGGGCACAAGAACGGAAGGAUUAUUCUUGUUCAACACCCACAUACCUCAAAUUUAUGAGUAUUAAUGAACUUUUGAAUAGGAAACUCUAUUUGCAAAAUUGAUAGGCGCUCCUUGUAGCUCUUGUAAUGGGGAUCCCAACUCUUAAAUUAUUUUUGAAUUUCUACGGUUGAAUUUUGAGGGAUCUUGAUUUUUGUUUUGGGGCUAAGGGAAGUUGUUCUUGUGAAUUUGGAGAAUAAGGAUCAGA